UUCUUUCUUUUCUUCUUCUUCUCUCUCUCUCUCUCUCUCUCUCUCUCUCUCCCUCCCCCUCUCUCUCUCUGUUCUUUCCUUCUUCAACAAAACUCAAAACUCAUCUCCUUCAACAAAAAUCAAGUGUGUGAAAAAGCUUAGAAGUGCGAGGAGGAGGAGCAAUAGAUGCAGGAAACUCAGCUAAGGUUGUAAAUCAGUCAAGUGUGAGGAGGAGUAAUAGAUGCAGGAAACUCAAGUGUGUGAAAAACAAGCAUGGAGCUGGAAGUAAUGCUCAGGCACCAUUGGUGAUUGAGAAUGAGGAUGCUAAAGCCAGUCAAAAUCCGACAAAAAGGCCUAGAAGUUCUGGUAUUGUUAUACAGGUCCAACAUAGCUACACUGAUGCAAAUGUGAUUGCAAAAAAACAGUCUCAGCCUUCUCAAUUUACUGUAGUUGAAGCUACUUCUCAAGUUCAGUCACAACCUGCUCAAGCCACUCAAAAACAGUCUCAAUUUUCACAGAAAGGAGGUGGAGCUAAUGGGGAAGACACAGAACCUACAUAAUAGAUGCAACUAGGCUUUUAUUUUGCUAUGAACAUGUCUAAAUUAUGUCUAAGUUAUUUUGCUUUGAACAUGUCUACUUAAUAUCUAAGUAAUUUUGCUAUGAACCUUUUCAUGUUUUGAUGUAACCUGACUUUUGUUAAUAGCCAUAUCUUGUAAUUUAC
rnacentral:lncRNA from 1 species